rnacentral:rRNA from 1 species
AGGGGAAGACUCACAUAGAGGCAGCAGUAGAGAAUCUUGUGCAAUGAACGAAAGUAUGACACAGAGAGGACACAUUUAAUUGAGCCCGUCAAAUUAAGUGCCAGCCGACGCGGUUAAACUUAAGGGCUGGUCUUUAUAAGUAAAAAGGCGUAAAGGAUGUGUAGGCCAAGAAACGACCCAAGUAGGUAAAUGGAAUUUUUCUGGAGCGGUAGAAUGUAAGGAUAGAAAAUAGAAUUCCUAAGGUAAAAACUAUUUACCACAAGGUAGGCUGAAACAUGAGAGUGUGGGGAGCAAACAGGAUUAGAGACCCUGGUAGUCCACACUGUGAACUUUGAAGAUGAUGCUUAGCAGACCCGAAAGGUAAAAUCUUCCGCCUGAGUAGUACGAUCGCAAGAUUAAAAUUCAAAAACUUUGGCUGUUCACUAUUUCGAUUAGAGGAGCGUGUAGUUUAAUUCGAUGGUCCGCGUGUUACCUUACCCCAACUUGAAUCUGUGACCGGUAUUGCAUGGCCGUCGUAAGUUCGUGUAUUAAGCUAGAAGGGACCCAACCCGGGCAUUUGCCCGGAGGAAGUCAGGUCUUAUGAUCCGAAUGUUGGGGGAUUUUAUGCGCUACAUUUUCUUAUAUAAUGGGAAACCUGGAAGGUGAGCCUCUAAAGUAAGAGUUCGGAAGGUCGCUGUAAGACGACUGGAAGUUGGAUUUAAUAGUAAUCGGAAAGUAGGGCGUUCCGGUGAAUUGGUACAAGUGUUAGCACAAAUUGCCCGUCACCUUUACCUAGAACGGUUAUUCGGACGUCUUCGGUGAUUACGAAUGCCUACGAGGUA